UCUACUUCCUCCACAUACUAUAUAACACCAGAAUGACACAGACUGAGUAAUUUAUAAAGAAAAGAAGUUUAUUUGGCUCAUGGUUCUGAAGGCUGCGAAGUCCAAGGUCCUGGUGGCAUUUUCUGAUGAGGACUUUUGUACUGCAUCAAAACAUGAGGGUAAAAAAUGGCCAAUUGGUGAAAAAAAUAAAAGAAGAAUGGCUAGAACUUUUCCCAAAGAGCAACACCUAGAAGGAAAGUUGGAAAUGAAUGAAGAGAAGGAAGAGAAGUACAGCUGCACUGGCUUGCCUCUCAGUAAGAUUACAGACGCUUGCAUGAAUUCGUGACAGAUAAUUAUGUUCUAUAUAUCACACUGACUUUUGUUACAGUGGUACUACCAAGUUCUGGUGAAGGAAAACAAGAAUAUUGUACAGUCUGACUCAAAUUUCAAGGGGGG